CUUUGAGUAAACUUGAAAGGCAGUCUAGGCCAUAAGAACUGCAACUCUUAGGUAAAUCCUAGUGCCGAACUAGGCCCAGAAACAGUGGACUGUGAAGGCAUGCAACACACUGAGAUAACAGCUGGGACAGCCAAAGCGGUGCUGGCGUCAUCCCUCCCAUAACCCCAGGCUACACAGCUCAUGGCUUCAAAAGAGACCCUUUCCUUCCACUUGAGGAUAAGAGAGGAAAGAGUGGGGAGGAUUUUGUCUUGCAUCUUGAAUACCAGCUCAGCCACAGCUGGAUAUGGCACUGGACAGAGUCAUGAGCCCCCGGCUCUCCCACUCCACUCCUCAUUCCAGGCCCCAGCUCCCAGAUGACAUUUCUAGACACAUACUGAGUCAGAAGGGAACCUGCUGCCUUGAAGGAAAGAAUCCAGUCCUGGAAGCAUUCAUCACCAGCAAACUAAAGAGCCCUUGGGUCCUGAAUAACCAGCAGCAAUACCCAGGGGUACUUAAGCUCCAGGAUGAACUGAAGGUGCCUUCGUCCAGAAAGAAUUUAUAUUUGGUUCUGAAAUGUGUCUGGAGGAACUACCACUUAAACCAAAUUCAAGGCUUGCGAGUCCUUGACCCGCCAGAGAAUGUGAAAGCCACCUGCCACUUCUAAUUCUCUUUCACUCCAGGGUUGGUCCUUUGAGGUUCAAGUUUAUUGUAUGGACAAUUUCUUAGUAGACUUUCUGACUUACAUAGCCCUUGACUUUGAGUACCGAUCAUCCCAUGAAGUCAUCGAAAGGAAGUUCAGUUUUGCAAAAUCAGCAAACACGUCGGGGCAAAAUUUGUUUAUGUGAUUGCGUAACAUUUCCCCCCCACUUAGGUCAGGUAAUUCCUUUCUAUUUUGUUAGUGCCUAGAUGCUUGAAGGUAGAUGCUAUUUGUAUUAUAUUCCGCAUUUCAUUAGGAUAACGUACCUGCUAUUCUCAGAAACUAGAAGUCUAAUGUAAGAAAUAUCUGUAUUUACUGAUAUUAUCUCAUGAAAAUUAGAAGUUCGAGUGGUUAAUAUGUUCCUUGUAAGCUGAAAAUAGCUGCAAAAUUAUCAUUUAUUAGUAAAAACUAGAAGAAAUAAACCCAAUUAUUCCAUGCUGGCUCUCA
rnacentral:lncRNA from 13 species